GUUGCCGGCGAGGAGUGGAUCUUGGAGCUUCGAAGGGGUUAAAGCUAAGUCGGGUCUUUGGUGUCCUUCGACUCUCUGAUUUGUGCCUUAGUGCGAAUCUUCUUUUCCGAUUCUUGCUCUCUUCCUCAUUGAUGGUUGGCGAUCUCGGGUUAGGUCGUAGAUCCCUUUCUCCUUGUUGAUUGAGAGGCAGAGGAAUUCCGGGAACAUAGAAUCGAAUCGGGCGACACCUCCUGGAGACAAUCGGUUGAGUGAGGACCUGCUCUGUGGAUUUCAAAUUGAAUGCUGUGAGUUCUUGAUUCCAGCAAUUUCUUGGUCUCGGCAGCAACAAUCCUCUUGUCCCAAUAGCCACAGUAGCUGUGGAAUUGAGGACUCUGAUUCGAGACGGGCGUCUCGACCUGGGAUUGCUUGAUUGUACCUUCUAUUUGAGG